rnacentral:misc_RNA from 1 species
UUAAGUUCGGCGGGUAUUCCUACCUGAUCCGAGGUCAACCUUGUUAAGUGGUGUGUUUUACGGCAAGCACCCGCGCCACGCCCAGAGCGAGAUGUUGCUACUGCGCUCGGUGUGACAGCGAGCCCGCCACUGGUUUUAGGGGUCUGCGGCAGCCGCAGGGCCCCAACGCAAGCCCGGGGGCUUGAUGGUUGAAAUGACGC